AUUGAACGCUGGCGGCAGGCCUAACACAUGCAAGUCGAGCGGAUGAAGGGAGCUUGCUCCUGGAUUCAGCGGCGGACGGGUGAGUAAUGCCUAGGAAUCUGCCUGGUAGUGGGGGAUAACGUCCGGAAACGGGCGCUAAUACCGCAUACUUCCUGAGGGAGAAAGUGGGGGAUCUUCGGACCUCACGCUCUCAGAUGAGCCUAGGUCGGAUUAGCUAGUUGGUGGGGUAAAGGCCUACCAAGCCGACGAUCCGUAACUGGUCUGAGAGGAUGAUAAGUCACAUGGGAACUGAGACACGGUCAAGAGGCCUAAGGGAGGCAGCAGUGGGGAAUAGGGGACAAUGGGCGAAAGUAUGAUACAGUCAUGCCGAGUGUGUGAAGAAGGUCUUCGGAGUGGAAAGCACGUUAAGUUGGGAGGAAGGGCAGUAAGUUAAUACCUUGCUGGUUUGACGUUACCAACAGAAUAAGCACCGGCUAACUUCGUG
rnacentral:rRNA from 1 species